rnacentral:lncRNA from 1 species
UUGUUUUUAUCCAUUGAAAGUUCUCACGUAUCGGGGGGAUAAAGAAGUAAUUGAUUUUGAAAAAUGUCUCAAUGCACCAUGGCAGAUGACUUAUAGUUUAAGGUGAGUUUAGAUUGAUUUUAUCCCAAUUGAUUAUUUUCAAAAAUAUAACUAUUAAUUUAUUUAGAAAAUAAAUUAAAAGGUAAUUAUAUAAACCCAAGUAUUAUAUCACUUAUCCCUUAAACCCUAAAAUUUCCUUAGAGAUUUAUCCCAUGAUUAUC